UCUUGGCUCAGAUGGCAGAGCGUCUGCCUAGUAAGCAGAAGGUCACCAGUUCGAUUCUGGUAGA
rnacentral:tRNA from 1 species